GUCAGAACUCCUGGGUUAGAAAAUUAUUCUGCCACUUUCUAGCCACACAGUUUCGGCAAGCCUUCCUUCUGGGAGCCUUAAGGUCCCCAUUUGUGUAACGGGAAUGAUAUGCUCUUCCCAAGACUGCUCUGAGCCUAAGAGGAGUUGAUACAUGGAAAAAGCCUAGCACCUUGCCAGACCCAGCACUUGUCUGUGUAACCAUCAUCCCUGCCCAGGUUUCGUGCACGCCUAACUAUCAGUCCUGAAGUGCAGUCCCCGGGCCAGCAGUGGCCACAGUACAUAUUUGUUCCCUUGCCUUGCCCCUUCUCCAAUUCCCUCUGCAGUAAUACGGGAUAGAUUCAUUUGUUAGGUCAAAACAAAGCAAAACAAAUGAAAACACAGCUCGCUUUGUUUGUUUAGUUUUAUCUAAGGUUUCACCAAAAAAUUCAAUGUAAUGGGGAAAAGAAAAGAUGGGGGAAGGUUCUAGAAUAAGAUAGACAAGAAACUUAAGAAAAUGUAAUCUGUUAUUCUUAAUUGGAUCCUGCUUUUAAAAAAAACAUGUAAAGACACUUGGGUGGAAUUAUGGAAAUCUGACUAUUAGAUGGCAUUAAGGAAUUUAUUUGGUGCGAUAAUUUUGGUGUGGUUUACACAGGAGAAUGUCCUUCUUUGAGUGCAGUCACAUAAUCAUAGCCCACUGCAGCCUCCAUCUCCUGGGCUCAAGUGAUCCUCCAACCUCAGCCUCCUGAGUAGCUGGGACUACAGGUGCCCACCACCACACCCGGCUAAUUUUUAAAUUUUUAGUAAGAUGAGGUCUCUCUAUGUUGCCGAGGCAGAUUUUGAACUCCUAGGCUCAAGUGAUCCUCCCACCUCAGUCUCCCAAAGUGCUGCGAUUACAGGCACGAGCCACUGUGCCCAGCAACAAUAGCCUUCUUCCAAAAUGUAUACUAAAGUAUUUAGGAGUAAAGUGCUAUUAUGCCUUAAGCCUCCUUUUAAAUGGUUUGGCAAAAAGAAAAAUCCGUAACAAACACAAUCAUAGAGAGUAUAAUAGACAAAAUAGGGCAAAAUGUUAACAACAGUUGAAUUUAGGGGAUGGGCAUAUGGGUGGUGAUCACUACAUCAUCUUUCUUUCUUUCUUUCUUUCUUUCUUUCUCUCUUUCUCUCUUUCGACUUUCUUUCUCUUUCGUCUUUCUUUCUUUCUUCUUUUUUGUUGGAAAAUUCUGUGAUAUAAAGUUUGAGAAAGAAAUCUUACCUGACAUCAUCAGAGCUUCCUGAAUUAAACUUCGGAGCUGAAAUACUUUCCUUGAAGAAGUCCUCAGAGAAGGCAGGAGUUGAGGCAAUAAAUAUCUGCUAAAAGAAGUCAGACUGGUCUCCGGGAAGAGAUAACUCUGCUCCUUCUGUGAAUUCUUCAGCUGUACUGCAGACGUUACUUGUGCUGGGAGAUGGCGGUUGCUGGGGAAAAAACCUGAGAAACCCUAGUUCACAUCCUCCCUCUGACACUUCUUAGAGUGAUUACUGCUGGUAGGAAGCAGCUGGGAGAUGUGCAGUGCUGGCACCGUGUCAUUGCAGGACCACUGCAGCCGCCAAGCUGCUUUCAAAGACUGGAAGCAACAGGUGCCUGUCAUCGAAAGCAGGGGAAUGAUUUUCACACAUUACAGGAAACCAGGGAUGUUACUGGGU
rnacentral:lncRNA from 1 species